GCCUCCUAGGAUAAAGUGAGUAAAAAUGAGUUUCAUUCUUCUAAGUUCUAUGCGGAUAGUGAUUGGAGACAUGAACUGAGGAGGC